GGUCUUGUCUUCUCAAUCUCUGCCACGAACGCAACAACAAUAAUCUUCGCUAAGAUCCUCCUCUUCCCAAAUUAGACUAGAUCAGAGCUCUGCUCUUCCGAAGCGUCUUCCAAAGGCGCUGCUUUUGGAUUACAACGGUGAUUUUCCAUUCUUCCCGGCACACCUCGGAGAAUUUCUGUCGUCAGCAUAAAGUUGAAUAUAUGGGACAAUAAAAGUGCAGCAUGGCCUGUAGCAAACCCAAUUUUGUCUUGUGCUUCAGUUAGUUCUCCAGUAAUUUUGUUGCUGACCCCUUUCUUUAUGCUUAGUAAAGAUUUGAAGAAUUGUAGCUUCUUCAAUUCUUCGUUCUAUCACCAGACACCAAAUUAUCAAUCUUUCUCAAAUUUUCAGCUAUAAAUUCAUUCAAGAUUUGUAGUUAAAAAUUGAAGAAUUAUAGUUUCUUCAACUCUUCAUUCUAUCACCAAUUUAAAGAUGGAUCAUACUUACUGGAUGUACCAUACCACACGUACAAGCUUGAUAUAUACGGAUAGCGUUCGAAAUUUUCUUAGGGUUGCCAAAACAAAUCGGUUGAAUAGUGGAAGUGGAUUGAUUUGUUGCCCUUGUACAAUUUGUAAAAAUUUCCAAAGAUUUAAUGAUAUCAAAGACAUACAAUUUCAUUUGAUUA